rnacentral:lncRNA from 1 species
UAAUUUGGAUAGGCUGCCUAGCUCUAUUGGUCCUCCUGACGGUGAAGUUUUUCCAUUUCAUUUAGGAGGGGGGAACUUCUGUGAAGUAUGGUCACGACAUGGUCCUGGUAUGACAAGUGUGAUACUUUGUAUGAACUUCCAUGUAAACCUUGUUACUGAUUAUCGCGGAAAGAAGAUUUUAGAAGCUACGAUUGAUGGAUGCAAUUCUUACACUGUGGACGGGGGGUUUAUCAAGGACUGUGUAGCUGUGACAAGUUAGAGGUAUUUGCUAUUUAGGGUCUGUUUGAUUCGAGUCUGGGAAAUAGAUUUUCCGGGAAAUCUCAAUUUCCCAUGUUUGAUUAAAUGGAAAAUAAGCGGUAAAUAUUUAAAAUGACAAAAUGUUGGGACAAAUUAGAGCUCAAUUUUGUCGAACUCUCACUACAAACAUAUUUAAAUGAUUUUUCAAAAAAAUUCAUGAUCAAUGUAGAAUUAUAACUAUUUUAUCAAAAUUUUAUUUCCCGAAUAUUUGCACAUGGUAAAUCUAUUUCCCGGUAAACUCUUUUCCCGCCCGAAUCAAACAGACCCUUAGUUUUUGUAUUAUUUAGUUUCAUGGAUCAAGUGAUUGUGUAUUUGUGGAUGGCAUUUAUUUUCAUUCUUGCUUAGUACAUCCAAAAACAUAUAGUUAUAUAUUUUUGCAAACAGUUUUUGAAAACUAAAAGAAUAGUUACAUAUUUAUUGCUUUUAGACAGUUUUGAUGUUUAAAAGCAUAGAACUGAUGUCAUUUGAACUUCCUCAAUUAUUUAACAUGAUGAAAUACAAUAUAAAAUGGUAAUAUUAUCUGUUAUUCGUUUGUGGAAAUGAAGAAUGCGAAUUUAUUGAGACACAUGUCACAUCACAUCUUUUUGUGAUUGACUAAACCACUUCUGCAGUUUUCCUUUCUUCACCCUGAUAGACUCUAGUAGUUUUUAUUAAAUAAAUUUGUUUUUAUUUGUAAAUAUAAUGUCUGCGAAUAGUCAUUUUCUUAGCUUUCAGGAUACUUAAUCUCAUUGUAUGAAGUGUUGAUCUUAUUGUAAUAUUAGUAAUUUCUUCCUGGUAUCAGUUGCUCUGUUGAAAUAAAACCCUAGCCACCAACGAGACAGAAUUCUAGCCAUACCCUCCACCACCACCACCACUUCCCCUUCAGAUGUUCUCUCUUCUCGUGCCUGCAGCAUGACGACCACCACCAUUUUUAGGCUCCAUUUUUGCACAUAAAUUAAUUAAUUGCUUCAAUUAUAACUGAGUUCUUUGCAAAAUAGUUUUGCCCGCAUUAUGUUUGUAACUAGAAUAAGAGAUUGUUUUGAAACCUUUUGGUUUCUUUUGAGUAUUUCUCUGCUUUUUACAUAAUCCAACAGUUUUGGUUUGAAAUGCAGGUUUUGAGGUUUGAGAUGAUGGUGCAUGUUCUUCAAGGAACCCAGAACUAGAAGCUGUGGAAUCUGAAAAGCCAAUGCAAGAGAUACUGUAGAUAGCUAAAGGGUGGAAUCCAGUCAAAGCCUGUGGUUUUUUCCCAAUAAAAAAUGAAGCAGGAGCUUGAUGGAGCUCUAUGGGAUUGCAUCUGUGAUGUAGCAUAAGAAAGGAGGAUGUUUGAUCCUUGAUAAAUUUCCAUUUUUUUAGGCUUCUUAACUGUGCUUCCCUAUUGGCUUUUUAGACUAGUUUCUGUGUAUCUAUGCAGUGAUGAUGUCUCUAUGUUUAAACUUAAGGAAUUUUUCCAUCUUUAAUCUUUUUCCCAUUUGAAUUAUGUGUUCUUAACUUCUUAUUGUUGGUCUUGUCUGU